UCUCUGUGCUUCUCCAUGGCUAAGGCAGCCCCCACUCUGCUUUCCGUCUCUGUAGAGAAGUCUGUUCUAGAAACUUCUAUGCAUGGUGUGAGCACAGGGCCUUUGUGAUGGCCCUCUUUCACUUGACGCAUCUUCCAGGGUCAGCCAGGCUAUAGCUGGGGUUGAGAUUUUACUCCCUUUAUGGCUGAAGGCAUGUCACUCUUGCUACAUCUUGGGCCCAUUUAUUCUGAUAGAAGUCCUAAAGAGGAUUUUUCUGGCUGACUUGCUAAUCCUUGUCACCCUUCCACUUUUACUUUCUAGGUAGUGACCUCCAUUUGAUGACAUCAUCACCUGUCUGUUUCCUCCCUCUCCCAUCUCUCUGCUCCUCAAGGCCUGGAUAUUCCACCUUGCACACUGCCACAGUUAAGCCCCUGACAUAUACUGAGCUGACACAGGCCCUGACUGAGACUUGAGAAAAGGAGGUGAGAGGAAGCGAGUCACACCUAUGUGCUCCACUGGCACCAUCCACCAGAGCCCACUGCUAAUCUUGCCCUGGAGCUCGGCUCAGUUUACUUCUCUCCCUGAGUGUGGAAUCAGCAAAGUCCAGCAACAACCAAAGACAGAUCUUCUACGUGCCCAGGCACUGGACCCAGAUGGCCCUGGACUCCUGGUGUCCUGCCUAGGAGCCAGCAGGAGCCAGUGUGGCCCUCACAGAGACCUUGCCUUGGAGCCUCGGAUCCCCUUGGCAGCUAGCCAGGGCCGGCAGCAGCAACAGCUCUAAGUACACCUCAUGCUUUUCCAGAUGUGAGUGGGAUCCAGCCAGGGGUGACAGGCUCAGGCGGAGGGGAAUCUGAAGACGUAAGUGGAAAAGUAUGUGCUGUCCCAUCACAACCCUCUAAUUUGUCCCCCAGCAGCUGCCAGCUCUGCCCCACCACAGAUCUGCGGAUUUGGGUCUCCCCUGGUUGGGAUUGCCCCAAAGCCUGCUUGGACUGGCUCACUUCAUAUCUGCCUAUGGGGAGUGGCCUCCACUUUCUGGGGAUGGGAGGUGGGGAUCUGGAAAGAAUACACUAAUCCUGAACAGCCCCACCCCCAAGUGGCCUGGCCGAUCCUCCUCAGCUAAGCACAGGACACAUGGUACCUUUGGGGGCUGAGUCUAGAACUAGGCAAACUCAGUGCAGAUCACAGUGCUCACACCCACUUCAAGCUGCUCUUGCAUCAAACAACAAUGGGGAGGUGGCCUCACAUCAGUGCCAACUACCAGUGGCCACAAGCAUUCCCUACCUUCCCACAGGGAGUUCUACAAUGUUCCCAUUCUGUGGAUGAGGAAACUGAGGCACAGGAUGAUCACUUGUACAGCUAUUCAGAAGUGCAAGACACCGGGUCCUCCUCGUGCUGGCCCACUACAUUCUUGAACAGGUCUGAGGUUUCUCCAGUGAGCCAACCCCUAGAAACUCCAGGAGAGAAUGAGGCAGGAAAAUCUAUUGCAGUUGGUGUGACCAGAACAUCAGGCACUUGAUGGGUCCCUGCCUGGCCUGGCCUCUGAGCUACCCACCCAAGGAGGUCCAUCAUGGACCAAAGCAGGGGAAGGUGGCCAGUGACUCACUCGAGGGCAGGACUCGGCCUCUCCAUUCCCACAGCCAGUUGGCAUCCUUGUCCAAGCAAAAUGCCUCCCAGUGUUGGCCUGGAAACUAUAAAUCUGUCUGGGCCCAAGGCCCACCAUUCAGGGCUCUAGACAGUCUUGCCUUGUAGUAGAGUAACUGUGGCUACUGUGCAUGCGUUUCUUGUUAAAGUGGGAGGGAACUGUGUUGCUGCAUUUCCCCUUUUCCCUGGGCUUCUAGGGAGCUCAGCAGGCUUCACCUCAGCUGGAGUACCCAGGUGCUUGAUACCUGUCUUAAUCAUCAUAGUCAUCUUCAUCAUCACCAUGACAUCUUAUUCUGAAUCAUGCUCUUUCACUACUAGUAUAUUCUAUAUGGCAGCACAAGUAUUUUGUGGAGGAAAGAAGGGGGUAGAUAAAAAGGGAAAAGAGGAAGUAGAAGAAGGAGGGGAGAAGGGACAAGCAGAGGGGAAAAAAGGCAGGAGGAGGAUAAAGAGGAGGAGUGUGUGCAGUUGACAUACCAGUGAACCUGGAAAGAGUAAGGACCCUUUACCCCUUUAUUCUUUAUAAAACAUUCUCUUUAAGUAAGAUGCACAUUCAAAACUCUAAGGUACAUCCUCCCUGGUGGUACUUUUAUGUCCCCUGCAUGCAAAGUAGACACUGUGGUGCCAUCUUCAAAGGAGAAAGCCCAGCCUUGCCUAAGAUCCUAUGGCUUCCAGCAUUCUGCUCUAGGCAGGUCCUAACAGAUGUGCUAGAAAAUGGAGUCAAGCCCAGGUAUCCCACCCCUUGCCCAGAAGAACCCUGUCCCUAGGUGGUCUCUCUUCAGAGGUUCUUAAAGCUCUGCUCUACCUUCCUCCCUGCUUUCUAAAUAGGGGCAACUUCCAGGCACCUCCCACAGACCUCUGAGGUGAUGGAUGUAACUGUGGCUGCAGGUAAUUACACUCAACACUGGCUGGUGGCUGCUGGCACUUGGGUCACAUUUAAUCCUCACACCAAUACUAAAAGCUUCUUCACAGGGGUGGGGGUGGGGGCGUCAGUGUGCACACAGGUCUAAGAAUGCUUAAGCCUGCCCUGAGUGGGCAGCCUGGCACCCGAUUCUGUACUUUGCUCCUUGACAUGGAGUGACAUGGAAGGUAGAGAAACUGUCACUCACUGGACAUUGAAGGAGAGAGUACCAGCCCUGUUCACCCAGGCAUAACAGGCUCAGGGUGGACACCCAAGUGGCACUUCAAAGCCAGUGGUUGUUACAUAACAAGUGCCUCCUGUUCACUGUACCUCAGGUGGCCCUCCCCAGGGGGCAGUGGUCAGCAUAUGCCCUGAUCCUUGGACCACUCUCUUCCUGCUUCCCUCCCUGCCACUAGAUACCACACUUCUCUGGAGAGUGCCAGGUUCAGCCUUUCUGUCUUCCAUCCCUGUUCCCUCCCAAACCUCCAAACCAUGCAGAUCCCUCACCUGGCCCACUUAGGGCAAAGCCGCCUCCACACCCUGUCCCUGGUACCUGAGGGUCCUCACGGAGAUGCAGUACUUCCACAUGAGGCCCCACACAGCACCACCAUCACCCUUCAUGCCUGGAUCAGUGAGGUGCAGUGGCUGGGGGGUAGGGGGUCCUUGCCACUGCCGUGGACCCUGGGCCUCCUCCCAGUCAAGGGAUGGCUCUUGUCUUGAGCUCUCAGGUCACUUCCUUCUUCAUGAGGAUAAAAAAACAAAAGGUCCAAAGACAAGGAGAGGGGAGGCCUGACUCUCCCAGGCCACUGCAGGUUCCCGGCAGAGCUAUCCCAGGCUGGCCUCUGUUGCUUCUGGAGGACCGGACCAGAGCUCCAGACCCUGGCGGCUGAACGUCCCUCACACUCCAGACCCCGUGGCUUCAGCACAACCUUGAGCCUGCCGCCUGCCAAGAGACAGGGGGUGGCAGAGGGCCAGGGGAGCAGUGAGUCACUGGGGCGGGACGGAGGGGGCGUCCACUGUGAGGGAAAGUGGGAGCUCUGGGAGCCCAGGGGCUGCCCUGUGCAUCCAGAGGCCAGGGUGGGACUGGAGAGGCAGUACUGAGGGAGGGAGGCUGUGGAGGCAAGGGCGGGCCCACAUCCUCCACCAGUCCCCAGAGGCCUAAACCCAACACCGCCCCAUGGCUACAGCCCUGCCCACAGAACUGAGAAGGGUCUGCUCUGCCGCUGGCUCUAGAAGGAGCCUGGAUAGAAAAGACGAUCAAACUGGGACCAUGCCUUAGGAUAGCAGCCUGCUCCCGAGGACGCCAUUGAACCCUGAGAGUUUCUCAGCUCCCGCCAGUUUACGCUUCGUUACUGAUCACUAACUGUGUUCUCUCCUCUCUGGCCUGUGUUCUCCUAACAUACAAGAGCUCUAGGAGCCUGGGGCACAGGGAGGAAUUUCCAACAGGUAUGAGCAAAACCAUCUGCUUUUCUCCAUAACCCAUAAAGUGGAUUUCCAUAGCUCUGUCAAACAUGUACAGAAACUAAGGCACACAAGUCAGAGGCCUGGAAAGGGGAAUGAGCCCGAAUGCCUGGCUCUAGAUUCUGAAUGCCAACCAACCGUCUAUAGGCUUGAUCCAGAGAUGAGGCUAGACUCCUCUGGGGAGUGAACCAUGGGGGGCUGGGCCCCUGGGGUCUUUCAGACUGGAGCCCAGCUGGAGCCCCACCCACCUGACAGCUGCUCAGGGCUGGGCCUAGGGCUGGCAGCUGGGGCUUCCCAGGCAGGAGCCCCUGGGGACAGUGACUCAGGCUACAGCCCACUGGAGGGCUUUUUUUUCCACCCACAACCCCCAGGAAGACCCCAAAGGGCAGGAGGCCUAGGGUCUGCAAAUAACUGCCCUGUCGAGUGGGUACCAGAACACCAAGUCACUAGAGGCUCAGAGGCAGGCGCUGCUCUGCCUCGCUGAGCCUAGGCUCUCACUUUGCCCUACACACGGCACAAUCCUGCCUUGAGUCCAGCCUGAUUCCCACAGCAGAGCUCCAGCGCUGCAGACUGUUCAUUCCCCAAACUGAGACCGAACGUUUGAUCUAAAACAAGAUGGCCCUCAACAAAAGCCUCCCUGAGGGUUCUGAAAGCCAACCCCCUCCCCAAAACCAGAACCAAAACAAAACACCAAAAACAAAAACAAAAACCCCUAACCCUCUUCUCUCCACCACAGGAAGCUUCAUAAACCAUUCUUACAGACCCUGUAUGACAUCAGGACUCCCAAAAAGUUCUGGCCAGCCUCUGAUGAGCAACCAGUGAAGAGAAGCUCACUGCCCUUUAAGCUGCCCACUCCUUAAGGAACCUCUGACCUAAGGAACCUCUAAGACAGAGCUCAUGGGCUCUUCUCGGCCUCUCUCUCCACAGCACACACAGAGUGUUGGAAAUGUUCUACAGCUGGUUUUUUUCGGGCCCUUGUGGGGUAGAGACUUUUGUUUUCACUUUCUCUAUCUCCCCACUGGGCAUCUGUCUCUCCAGUGCACCACCUGUGUGCUCUUGGAUUAAUAUAAGCAACACAUCUCCUCCUCCCUCCCCUCCCCUUCCACUUAUCACCACUCAGUGUGCUCUUCAUCUGUUGAUUUCCCCUUCUAUCCAUCUCUUCAUGUGCUUCUCCCCUCUCAUCUUCCCAUCCAUCCAUCCUUCAUCUACCCACCCAUCAUUCUCCCAUCCUCCAUCUACCUAUCAAUCAUCCACUCACCUAUCCAUCGGAUCAUCCUCUAUCCAACCAUCUACCUACUCUCUUACCUGUCCAUCAAUGUACCCAUCCUCCAUCAAUCUAUCCACCUACCCUCCAUCCAUCACCCUCCCAUUCAUUUACCCAUCCUCCACUUACCUAUCAUCCAUCAUCCAUUCCUCCAUCCAUCCAUCCAUCCAUCCCCCUCUCAUCCAUCCCUCUAUCCAGUACUUCUCUCUCCUUUACCCCAGGCCAGUCUCUGGUCCCUACACUGACCAAGAACAAAGGAUGUCAACUGCCACAGCAGCUUUCUCUUUCUUGCUAAGCUUCUGCCCAGCCUCCCUAUUGGUACUCUGUGUCUCAUACGGUCCCCAGGUUUGCAUCCAUAGCAGGAAUAGCUGUGUCUCUGACAAAUUUGAGGCCCUGUGUUGCCCAGACAAACCAUUAGGCUUGUCUUUCCUUUGUCUCAUAGCCUCUUAGCUCAGGCACAGAUGCUGUGGUCCUGGGUUUACUUAACACCAUGGAUACUAGUCACUAGCUAUUAGUUACUUGUACCUUACCUACCCGCUCUGUAGGAGAUGCCAGCCAAGGCAGCUACCUGCAGGACAGUGCAGGAAGCAUUUUUGUGUUCAAGAGCUGGUCAGACAGAGGAUAUUGGCAGGUACCAGAGGCCAGAACCCUGUGGAGAGCUUACAUUAAUACUCGUAGAAAGGUGGGUCCCAUUGUAUUCUUCUUUAUAUUUUGUUCUCCUCCUUACCAUGAAUUCCCCAUAUUUAUAGCCAGAAACCAUGUCUUCCCAAGGCCACUACCUCUCCAGUUUCUCUAAAGGAAGCUUUUUUUCUUUUUUCUUUUUUGGCUAAGGGGAUGCUGGACACUAUUUAAAGAACUAAAAGUACCUGGGGGAAAGUCAGGCUGAGACUGUAGACUAAGAGGAACUUAGUAAGUCUACAGAAGGGGCAAACUCACAAACUACAUCCUACACCUCUGUGGAGGGGCCAUCUUCCUUCCUCUGUCCACAAAACUAUGGACACAAGUCUUGUCCAGUUUGUGUCAGAAGUUCCUUUUGCAUCCACAAACACUUAUCACUGUGUGCUAGGGAACUGUGUGGUACAGCAGCUAUCACAGACAGCACCCAAUAGCACUAUCUACUGUCUGUCUGUCUGUCUGUCUGUCUCUGUCUCUCUGUCUCCCCCUUCUUCCCUCCCUCCGUCCCUUCUCCCACCCCCUCUCUCUGCAGGGAAUGGGACCCACGUACUGUGUGCACUCUACUAUGCCAUAUCCUAGCCCAGGCAUGUUCGGGAUGAAGAAACUGAGGGCAUGCACUAAAAUAUCUUGACCACGGAUGCCACCCCUGCCCUGCAGAGGCUUGUCCCUGGGAACAGGACAGACUCUUUACUCAUCUCUGACUUCCUGCCUCUCUGCAGGAAGUUUGCCCCACCCCCUCCCACCAUCCUGGCCAUACGGCAGAUAUAGACCACAAGGCCACAGAGGGCAAUAUAGAACUGAAUGACCUUAGGGAUGUCAGGUAGCCUCUCACUGUUAUGGUCCAGGGCAAUGUGGGCUGGAAUGGAGUAUGCUCCAUGAGAAUCGGUUAUUAUAGAUGAUUGAAGAUUGAGGGUGGGUGCCCUCUGAAAGGCAUAGGGAGUCACAGCCCAGUGUGAGGUAGGGAAGGAGGGCAGGUCUGUAAGGAAACUCUGUGGAGAGCUGUCCUCACCCUUAACCCUGACUCAUAUGGCCUGUGGAGUCACCACCACCCAAGCACAGAAAAUGUUCCAUUUGUUCCCUGAGGGGUGGUCACCACUAGGAACUGAGCCAAGGGCAGGUUUUGGCUCAGGGAUCAUACACAUUGGCAAGAAGAAACCAGGCCAGGGAGGAUGAUGGGUAAGCAUCCUGCUUAGAGGGGGAGGAUAACAGAGGUGAGUUUUAGGUGUAGACAAUAAACUCUCAUUUCAAUUCACAGGUCUAAUGAUUCCAUAGUGAGAUAAAAGCAUCUAAGCUGAUCACCUGCAUUCUCUGCAGCUUCUUGUCCUUUAAGACCUGGGUGCCACUCUCACCCCACACCACUAGGAAGCCAUCUCUGGUUGUUUCCACUCUGUGGAAUGCCUGGGGCCUUUCUGUGCCACUGCACAACUGAAAAUGCUGGGCUGAGAGAGGUGAGGGUAAAGAGGGGGCUAUGCUUCAGGUCUUCUUGCCCAGAGCAGUGGCUAAUGGAUGACAGCUGAUUUAAUGAAUGAGCGGUCCUCUCCCUUGAUCCGUCUGCCUUUCAUUUUGUCAGUGAGGACACUGAAAUCCAGAGAGGGGACAUGACCUGCCUAGCAUGGAUCCAGGGUGGGGUCUGGAGCCAGGGCCUACGCACCAUCUGGGUAGGCUAUUCUCCAGCUGUUCCCAGGGGCUGGACAGGCAGGAAGUUUGAGGACAAUUACAUGGUCAGAUGGAGUUUUGUUACUGGGAGGAAGGGGGAGCACAGACAGCCAUUAGCAAGCAUUCAAGGGAAUGGAUCCUGGGCCAUGGUCACUUGGUAACUUGAUAAUAGAACCUCUACCUGGUGUCAGGACAGAACCAGAGUCCAGGACCAAUUGGACACACCAGCAGCUGUAACCUGGUAGGCAGAGGCUCCCAUGAGCCAUCAGUGGAAACAGGAGCUAUCUCCUCUGGUUCUCUCCAUCUUCUGUACAGGGAAACAAGGCACCCCAAGCAACAUGGGCCCUAGCCCAACUUUUCUGCUAGAUGUAGAGGCAGAGAGGCUCAGAGAGGUGCUCUGACUUGCCCACGGUCAUACGGCAAGGUCACUGUAGAUCUAGUUGCUGGUAGAGCCCUGGGUCUGAGACCUUGAUCCUGCCAUGCUGCUUAGCUACACAGCCAUGAGAUCCUCAGAGCCUCUUCUCCACCUGAAUCUUCACCCACAAAACAAGGAGAAAGGUGAAUCCAGGGACCUUGUGGGAACUGAGGCAAUAGGAGGAACUGAGGCAUGAGAAUCCUUCUCAAGGUGAAUUAGGGAAUUGAGACUCAAAACCCUGCCCCUCCCCACCCCUGCAGUUCUUCAAAACUCCAAGGGAUUGAAUUUUAGCCAUGCCAGUGGUAACAGUGAAGCCUCUCCCUGUGAGAACUCGCUCCCUGCUCACUGUAGCCAGUGUUCUGUGCCACAAGUUCACAUGUUCCAGCCCAUGCUAGAAGUGGCUCUAUUACUUUGGUAUAGAGCAAAGAGACUAUGGUGUAAAGAGGUCUGCACACAUGCACAGGUUAGUCAAACACUACAUCUGAGAAGUGAACCUAAGAAUCUUGCUCUAAAAUAGCCAGCAUACAACCUGGCUUUCUAGUCACCAUAGAAGUCUUUCUCAGUGUCUGCCCUAACUUGUCUUGUUGGGCACUCCAUAACCCACUCAUAGGUAAAAGAGAAAAGUCACUCUUCUGGUCCUGAUCUGACCUGAGAGGUCUAAAUUUUUUGGUCCCUAGAUAGACUCCGUGCGACAUACAAGUCAAGGGACCCAGAUAGGAUGCACCUGUCUGUGUGUGUGUGUGUGUGUGUGUGUGUGUGUGUGUGUGUGUGUGUGUGU